AGUUACUUAACUUAUAUAAAGUAUUUACUUUGAAAGUAAAAGAAAGAUUAAAAUUUAGUAACUU
rnacentral:tRNA from 1 species